AGAGUUUGAUCCUGGCUCAGAUUGAACGCUGGCGGCAGGCCUAACACAUGCAAGUCGAGCGCGAAAGGCCUUCGGGCUGAGUAGAGCGGCGGACGGGUGAGUAACGCGUAGGAAUCUACCUGGGUAGUGGGGGACAACUUGGGGAAACUCAAGCUAAUACCGCAUACGCCCUAAGGGGGAAAGCGGGGGACCUUCGGGCCUCGUGCUAUCGGAUGAGCCUGCGUAGGAUUAGCUAGUUGGUGAGGUAAAGGCUCACCAAGGCGACGAUCCUUAGCUGGUCUGAGAGGAUGAUCAGCCACACUGGGACUGAGACACGGCCCANACUCCUACGGGAGGCAGCAGUGGGGAAUAUUGCGCAAUGGGGGCAACCCUGACGCAGCCAUGCCGCGUGUGUGAAGAAGGCCUUCGGGUUGUAAAGCACUUUAAGUGGGGAAGAAAAGUUGGUCGUUAAUAGCGGCCAGCCCUGACAUUACCCACAGAAUAAGCACCGGCUAACUCCGUGCCAGCAGCCGCGGUAAUACGGAGGGUGCGAGCGUUAAUCGGAAUUACUGGGCGUAAAGCGCGCGUAGGCGGUUUGUUAAGUCAGCUGUGAAAGCCCCGGGGCUCAACCUGGGAACUGCAGUUGAUACUGNCCGACUGGAGUACGANAGAGGGAGGUANAAUUCCAUGUNUAGCGGUGAAAUGCGUAGAUAUAUGGAGGAAUC
rnacentral:rRNA from 1 species